GAAGGACAUGCCGAGAGAGGAGUUCAGAUUGGCCUGCCAUAGAAGCUGGUCAGUCUGUGUUGGUAAUCCUGUCGAACACUGCUUUUAAAAAAAUAUAUUGUGUAGUGGAGCUGUAUAAGUGUGGCCCUCCACUUUCUGGAGGACCAAGUUUUGAGUAUGAUGGCUAAAGAGAUGGAUGAAACACCUUUCUCCGGAUUUCAUCUUUAAACUAAGGGCAACCAUGGCAUGGCAUUCCUGAAAGGGAGACGCAUCCAUGCACAAUUAUGUAUACAGGAAUUCCUGAGUCAUGGGAGGAUGUGUGAGCCAAUGAUACUCUCUCUUGUAAAACUGUCGAAAAAUUACCCCAUCAAAGGUGAUGAUAACCAACGUCGGUCGAUGACCCAGGUGGAUAUUCAAGCUGAGCACAAAUGUCUCUCUGAACAGAGGCAUUUUCACCGCUGCAAGAUGGAAGAUGAUGUUGAAGUCUGUCUAUGUUUCAAAUAUAGCAGUCCUAUGACUGAGCAUCGAAGGCCAAGUGGAGGGUGGGUCUAUGCUUGCUGACAGGAUACAUACAACAAAUCAAAGCUGCCCCAUUUCGUAGAAACUAUACAAGUAUGGAUAAUUUUAUACUGAUGUUGUCCGGAAGACAGUGGAAAAACAUUACUGCUUUCGUUGUAGACAUGAUGAGAGAGUCUUUGAAAGAGUACUAUUGCACCCUUGAAAACAGUAGCAAAGGAGGCCUUUUCUGGCUCAUAACCUGGGUAAGUGCUUCUCUAGGCCCAACAAGAGUGAGAGAGACUGACUGUGCACUUCUGCUCCAGCCAUUAAAUAAAGACAGUGGUGAAGAAGUGUUUUUCCUGCUACAGUACUUAUGUUAUUAUAGAGUCGAGACCACACUAAGCCAUUUGGUGACCUAUGUGUGUAUUUAUUAAGGAUCCCCAUAACCCUUUUCACAACACAUUGUGCUCCCGCAGGCCAUUACUCUACUAUCACAUACUGUAUCUAAUAAUACAAAAUCCAUGUGUACGUGUGUGUAGAGUGCAUCUUAUCAUUUGUAUGUGUAAGAGUGUGCCUCUUUCUCUUCACAGUCCCCGAUGUUCCUUAAGGUGUAUUUUUAUCUGUUUUUUAAAUCUGAUUCUACUGCUUGCAUGUAGCCAUGGCUCUACAUAGUACUGUGCACCUCCCAUAGUCUGUUCUUGAUUUGGGGAUUGUGAAGAGACCUCUGGUGGCAUGUCUUGUGGGGUAUGUAUGGGUGUCCGAGCAGGGUGCUAGUAUUUUAAACAGAUGCCUCGCUGCAUUCAGCAUGUCAACACUUCUUGCUGUCACGACGUGGCCCUUUUUAGGUGUAUAUCAUGGCUCCUCUCUCUCUCUCUCUCUCUCUCUCUCUCUCUCUCUCUC
rnacentral:lncRNA from 1 species